rnacentral:tRNA from 1 species
UCCAGGGUAGCCUAGUGGACAUGGCAUCUGCCCGGUAAGCGGAAGGUCGUGGGUUCGAUUCCCUCCCCUGGAC